AAGAUUGUACCUUCAGGGAUCAUUUCUAUAGUUCAUUACUUAGAGAAGUUUCUCUCAGCCUGUAGCGCACCCAAAACCAAGAGAAGGAGCCAGAGCGUCCUUUCCUGAGGAUGAAGCCGGCUCCAGGUGUUGCUUUUGCAACUGCCUUUUGCCAUUGAUGAUCAUUUCUCUUUCUUUAGAAAAGUGAGAGGGAGAGGAUGCAGUCGGAGUGG
rnacentral:snoRNA from 1 species